AAGACAUGCAAGUCGAGCGAACAGAAGGGAGCUUGCUCCCGGAUGUUAGCGGCGGACGGGUGAGUAACACGUGGGUAACCUGCCUGUAAGACUGGGAUAACUCCGGGAAACCGGAGCUAAUACCGGAUAGUUCCUUGAACCGCAUGGUUCAAGGAUGAAAGACGGUUUCGGCUGUCACUUACAGAUGGACCCGCGGCGCAUUAGCUAGUUGGUGGGGUAAUGGCUCACCAAGGCGACGAUGCGUAGCCGACCUGAGAGGGUGAUCGGCCACACUGGGACUGAGACACGGCCCAGACUCCUACGGGAGGCAGCAGUAGGGAAUCUUCCGCAAUGGACGAAAGUCUGACGGAGCAACGCCGCGUGAGUGAUGAAGGUUUUCGGAUCGUAAAGCUCUGUUGUUAGGGAAGAACAAGUGCGAGAGUAACUGCUCGCACCUUGACGGUACCUAACCAGAAAGCCACGGCUAACUACGUGCCAGCAGCCGCGGUAAUACGUAGGUGGCAAGCGUUGUCCGGAAUUAUUGGGCGUAAAGGGCUCGCAGGCGGUUUCUUAAGUCUGAUGUGAAAGCCCCCGGCUCAACCGGGGAGGGUCAUUGGAAACUGGGAAACUUGAGUGCAGAAGAGGAGAGUGGAAUUCCACGUGUAGCGGUGAAAUGCGUAGAGAUGUGGAGGAACACCAGUGGCGAAGGCGACUCUCUGGUCUGUAACUGACGCUGAGGAGCGAAAGCGUGGGGAGCGAACAGGAUUAGAUACCCUGGUAGUCCACGCCGUAAACGAUGAGUGCUAGUGGUUU
rnacentral:rRNA from 1 species